rnacentral:rRNA from 1 species
CUGGCUCACCACGACGGUCUUGGUGGCGUCGCUGUUGCCGGCGUCGACGGGGUAGGUGACCUCGUCGCCCUCCAUCCCGAGCACGCGCUUGGCGACGAUCUUGCGCGGGUCCUCCGGCGAGAGGAGGAGCACGACGUCCCCCGGCCCCACCCACCCGCGCCGCGGGCUCACCUUGUCGGUGAGCAGCACGUCCCCCGCCAUGUUCAGCGCCGGCAGCAUGCUGGGGCCCCGUGGCUGCGGCAACAAGGAUGA